UACGUAGGGCGCAAGCGUUGUCCGGAAUUAUUGGGCGUAAAGAGCUCGUAGGCGGUUUGUCGCGUCUGCUGUGAAAACCUAAGGCUCAACCUUGGGCUUGCAGUGGGUACGGGCAGACUAGAGUGCGGUAGGGGUGACUGGAAUUCCUGGUGUAGCGGUGGAAUGCGCAGAUAUCAGGAGGAACACCGAUGGCGAAGGCAGGUCACUGGGCCGCAACUGACGCUGGAGGAGCGAAAGCAUCGGGGAGCGAACAGG
rnacentral:rRNA from 1 species